CCCGGCUCUUUGACAAUGGCAGGACGUCGGAAGAGGCUGCAGUUGGCUAGCCUCUGCUCUGCCUGAGAUCACGGCUCUCCGCUGGUGGAAACACCUACCCUCGACGCUCUGGAAGCAAGAAACGGCGUCCAGAAGCUCCUUGCAUCUUAGAGUGCAUCAGUGUCUCAAAUAUUCCUGGAGAUAAUGGCUUUCUGAGAGCCAUUUUCUACAGAACUGAUGUUCGGUGACUACUUAUUGAAUACUUCAUACAUACCAAGCAUCGUGCCAGCACUUCAUUUGCUAUCUCAUCCAAUCCUCAAACCAACCUUAAAAAGAAUAAAUGGGUGUCUGAAGAAACUAAGACUUGGAAAACUUGAGUAAUUGGCACAAAGUCCUACAGCUUGUAAAUGGAGAUUCAGAAAUGAAGGCCAGGCAUCUUGACUUGAAUUCCAGCGUUUUCUAUUCCUGAUGAGACGAAUGUGUCUCCUAAAUCCUAUCAAAUUCUUUAAAGUAAGACCAUCUGUGACAUGUCCCAGGAACAUGAAAAAACCUAACACACCUGGCAGAGAGGAUACUCUGAAUGGGCUGCUCACACAGAACUAUUCUGAAGAUAGCAACGGCUAAUGCACAUUGGUCUCCUCCCCGUGAACAAAGCCUCCUGGAGAGAAACCAGCUGCGUUGGAGGCACUCCUCACCGUGGCCAUGGCCUUGGAAACAACUGAGAAUCACAGGGUGGUCAAUUCUCAAGCUGGCAGGGAUCUCAGAGAGCUGUUGACCCACUCCCCUUCUUCACUUAACGGAUGAAAUGAAGACAAGAUCGCUGGAGAGACUUGUCCCAAGUCACAUACAGCUGGCAUCCAAAUCAGAACUGUUUUCCAAAAAUAUCACACGGUGGUACAUGGAGCACAACCCUUGUGAGGCUGGAGGACGACUAAAUUCAAGCAACAUUUAUUAAGCACCCUGUUUUGUGUGUAAGGCACCUUACUAGAUGGUAUUGAAGAUACAGAUUGAUGAGACAUCGUCCCGGCCUCCGAGUGCUAUCAAGGUCCUGGGAAGCCGUGCCCCGUACCUUUCUGAGCAGAAAUAACACCGACCAGGGCUAUGGUUGCUGGUGAUAACAAGGCAACUGCCACCUGCAAAGAGCUCAACUUGCAACAGGGCCACACCGUCCCCUUCACGGUCAGCAUUAGUGCUUGUUACGCAGCUGCUAUGUAUGAAAACUCUCCGAACUCCAAGGACAGUCUUUGCUCCAAGGCCUGCAGUCAAGCCUUCUGCCCCCAAGCCGGGUCAGAAGGGCAAUAGUGCCUCAACCCCCCCACUCAAUUCUUAAUCACUGUUAGCUUUCCCCUGUGCAAGGAUUCUCACCAUUUCCAAAGCUACUAUCCAAGUGACCCAGGAAAAUACCCUACCAUAUCCAUCACUGGUUCAUAAUGGCCACCGCCCCCAUCAACCACCUCUGCUUCCUCUAUGCCAAGGGUGAAAGGGUUCCAGUCCUCUGUGUCCUACCCAUGCUUAUUUCCCAUACUGCACAAGACAUGGAAGGUGUCAGUGUCGAUCAGAAUAACACAGGUUCAGGAGGCCACGGAAACAUGAGUGAGCCGACAAUAAAAAAAUGAUCUCCUACUUUUGUA